rnacentral:lncRNA from 1 species
AGACAGAGAAUGCCCCAACACAGCAUCUCUGCAACCUCCCGAGCUUCACAAACGGUGCAUAGAAAACCCAAAACAUUCGAGUACCAUCUGCAAGAACUCCAACCAAACAACUUCUGAGCUCGACUAACACAUCAAUUACAUAAGUAACACAGGCUGGAAUGAAGACUAGCAGGUCUCGGGCAGCAGGUCCGUGUUGCAGGCAGAGGGUCAGUGCAUCAGACAGUAUCUCGGGCAGCAGGUCAGUGUCGCGGGCAGAGGGUCAGUGUCACGGGACGUGCCUCGGGCAGCAGGUCAGUGUCGCGGGCAGAGGGUCAGUGUCACGGGACGUGCCUCGGGCAGCAGGUCAGUGUCGCGGGCAGAGGGUCAGGCAGCAGGUCAGUGUCACGGGACGUGCCUCGGGCAGCAGGUCAGUGUCAUGGGUAGAGGGUCAGGCAGCAGGUCAGUGUCACAGGACGUGCCUCGGGCAGCAGGUCAGUGUCAUGGGUAGAGGGUCAGGCAGCAGGUCAGUGUCACGGGACAUGACUCGGGCAGCAGGUCAGUGUCGCGGGCAGAGGGUCAGGCAGCAGGUCAGUAUCACGGGACGUGCCUCGGGCAGCAGGUCCGUGCCUCUGGCAGAGGGUCAGUUCAUCGGACAGUAUCUUGAGCAUCAGGUCAGUGUCAUGGGCAAAGGGCCAGCGUCAUGGGCAGUGCCUCGGGCAGCAGGUCAGUGUCGCGGGCAGAGGGUCAGUGCAUCAUGUCAGUCUCAUGGGCAGAGGGUCAGUGCACCAGGCAGCAGCUCAGUGCCACGUGCAGAGGGUCAGUGUCACAGGCAGUGCCUCUUGCAGUAGGUCAGUGUACUGGGCAGAGCAUCACUAUCAUGGGCAGUGUCUUGGGCAGCAGGUCAGUGUCACGGGCAGAGGGUCAGUGUCGCGGGCAGUGCCUCUUGCAGUAGGUCAGUGGACUGGGCAGAGCAUCACUAUCAUGGGCAGUGUCUUGGGCAGCAGGUCAGUGUCACGGGCAGAGCAUCAGUGUCACAGGCAGCAGGUCAGUAUCAUGGGCAGCAGGUGCAGCAGUUCAGUGUCUUGGGCAGCAGGUCAGCGACUCGAGCAGAGCUCAGGGCACACCCCCAGGUGCCCCCACACUGCCCCGGUCCCCCAAGAACAGACGCUAACAGAGAGGCGCGCCGAUACAGUCCAGCAAUAACCCCACACACACACUCAGGGCGCUCAGCGGCGCUAUCCGCUCCAGGUAUUCACAGUGGCAGGACCCUCGGGAAGCUCGAGAGGAAAAGCUGGGAUCAGAUCCUGCGGGAAUUCACACGGGAAUACAGCCCGUCCAGCACCAGCACACUUUCAUCCCAUACAGCGCCUUUCCACCCGGGGGCUGCGGGGGGGCUCAUCGCAGCCAGGCAGCGUGAGGCAGCAGCCACAACACCACGCGUGAGCGAGACACGCAGGGAAGGAGACGCGAAUACGGGACAAAUGAAGGUGUAUCCCGGGCUGGAGAGCGAAGGAAAGAGACGCGGCGUGUCGGCUGCCGGCGAGAGGAG